AGAACACUCUGUAUCACUCUC
rnacentral:miRNA from 1 species